UUGUUACAAGUUCUUUGAAAUUGUGAAAGCUAGCUCUCAUUAUACAUGUCAUUUCCUUUACUCGCACUAGAUAUGAAUUGCAGGUUUUACUGCGGAUGGAGAUUUUUCGGUCAGAUAUUUCAGUGAAUAAGGAGCAGCCAUUAAAGCAGAAGCUUUUGAAGCAGAUUUGCUCCCUUUUAGACAUCAUUCAGUAUCUCAUCGAUGGAGGCAUCCAUGGUAAUGUUAGCCUGUAUGAAUAUGUUGAGCGUACCAUCAAAAUGAGGUAAUAACUCAAUAAAGGACUCAAAGCUAGUAACAUCAAAUAUGGUAGCUCAUCUGGAAAGCAAUUGAUUUAAAAUUGGAAAAUGUGAAUAGGGAGAUCCGAAAAUUCAUAAGAAGGGUAUAAGUUUUAGGAAAUUUGUAGAUGAGGUGUGGGUAACCGAGCACAAUUUAUAAGAAAAUUAAUAUUGCAGGCAAAAUCAUGAAAUUACCCUUAUGUGCAAAUACUAGCACUGGAUGGGCACAUAUUUCAUAUGUGCACAUUUGAGUAUACAUAUGUGUGCAUGUAUUGAUUUUGACAUGUGCACAUUCUGAUAUAUGUACACAUUCGCCAAAGUGCAAAAUUUUAGUCAUUAAGGUGGACAUUGUUAAGAUUUUUUCCCCACAUUGUUAAGAAUUAACAAAGGGUGAUUCAGUCAACUAGAAAUAAAUUUAUUUGAACAGUAACUCAUAUCCCGAUCACAAAUAAACGAAAAUUUUCACCCAACGUAUGAAUUGUAAAUCUUCUUAUUCCCAUCUUUCAAAUUUUCCCUUAGUCUUAUGUUCUACUGAGCCUAGCAGAGUAUUACUUUCACUUCAUUAUCUCAGUUGCAUCUAAUUAAGUAUCCGUCUUUUGCCUCCCUUUAGUAAAUUAGCAGUAAAUCUAAAAGCUAUAUCAACUCGAUGAUCAUGGACUUCAUGCCUUGUGCUGAGAGCAUUGUAUUCUACCUGCACAUUGUUGUUUCCAGCUUCAUUAGCCAUGCUAUUAUCCUUAAAGCAAGAUAUCUAUAUAAUUUCGGAGCUGAUUUUCCUUGUUUAGCAACAUAUGAUGUUCAAGAGACAACUAUUGAAGACCAUUUAUGUGGUUUUACUAGAUGCAGGCUGGCACAUGUGCCUCUGCUUAUAUUGUUCAAGCAUGAAUCUGGUUAUAUCUUUUUGGAUCUAAAAUGAGUAUAUCUUCUCGCACAGUAGAACUCCUCUCUUUUGCCCCUUCACUGCCAUAUUUACGUGUCAGAGAUUAACGUGUUGAGAAGCAGCAAUUUUGCAAGCUAAUACAUGAUGCCUGUACUUUUCAGAUAUUGUAACGUACUCGACGAUAUUGUGAAGGAUCUCUACACUCAAAUGGAUUUGUUGCCCUUCGGUGACGAGGAUGAGACCCAAGCUCUUCUCUUCAACAGUGAGGAUAGUGGUCAAUCUUGGAGGGAUAACAAAGACACGUAUGAGAAGGCUGAAAGUCACAACGUAUAUCAAUCAAUCUCGGUAGAGGAGGAGACGUACCAGCAACAGGAGAAUGUUGAUGAGAGUCCUGAAGGAAU
rnacentral:lncRNA from 1 species